rnacentral:tRNA from 1 species
CAUUAGAUAACUAAAUAUUUUAAGUAUUGGUCUUUUAAACCUUUAAUAGUAAUUUUAAUCAUUACUUCUAAUGA